rnacentral:lncRNA from 1 species
GGCGAUACUGGGGUGAUACUGGGGUGAUAUUGAGGUGAUACUGGGGUGAUAUUGCGGCGAUACUGGGGUGAUAUUGAGGCGAUAUUGAGGAGAUACUGGGGUGAUAUUGAAGUGAUACUGGGGUGAUAUUGAGGCGAUACUGGGGUGAUAUUGAGGCGAUUCUGGGGUGAUUCUGAGGCAAUAUUGAGGUGAUACUGGGGUGAUAUUGAGGCGAUACUGGGGUAAUAUUGAGGCGAUACUGGAAUGAUAUUGAGGUGAUACUGGGGUGAUAUUGAGGUGAUACUGGGGAGAUAUUGAGGUGAUACUGGAAUGAUAUUGAGGUGUUACUGGGGUGAUAUUGAGGUGAUACUGGGGUGAUAUUGAGGUGAUACUGGUGUGAUAUUGAGGUGAUACUGGGGUGAUAUUGAGGUGAUACUGGAAUGAUAUUGAGGUGAUACUGGGGUGAUAUUGAGGUGAUACU